rnacentral:lncRNA from 1 species
CUCAUCUCUGCCACUGUUUCACGCUAGCUUGCAUUGGGUGCCAUCCCUGCCACGGCCACCGUCCUCUCGCCGCCGUGGCCACCGUCCCCGUCGUCGUGGCUAUCGUCCCUAGCACCACACCCAUCGUCCAGAUCACCAUCCCUGCUGCGUGCUCGUCUGCGUCUCUGUACUCGCCUGAGCCGCUGCAGCCGUCGUCCCCACCCCCGUCGUCACAGCCUUCGUCCCCUAUCCCGCCGUCGAACAGGAGCGUACAUGAGCAGGUACUCAUUCUCUUCCCUUUCAAAGCCGUCAGCUGCUCCCUUCCCUCCAUUGUUGAGUACGUAUGGGAGGGGCCGAUCUAUAUAGGACCAAGUGUGUACCCAGGUAGCUAGCCAUAGCACGCCCGACGCUACUGGAUGCUAGUUGGGCGGCCAGCGUCCUCCACUUAUGGAGUAGCAGGUACUAAUGUCCGAAUCUCUAAAUCUGAAAUAGAGAGAUAGGACUGCAGCCCUGUGUUCCUUCCCUUUCUGUGCUCCCUGUGUCAAAUCUCAAAUUAAAUCCCCAAUGGCCGAAUCUGAUCCAUCCUCCUAUCUGCUAGAGUGGUGACAGGUGAAACCAUCAGUGCUAAAUCAAAUCUAAUUCUAUAUUUUUGAGCUUUGCUUGAUUGCUUCUCAAUUUUGGAUUAAUAAAUGCUAAAUGGAGUAGGUCCAGGCAUCCAGCAUCACUAUUCACUAGGAUGGUAUAGCUAAAAAAUUAAGAUGUUGUGAUUGUUAUCCCAAUUUUUGCUGGUUCAUAUGUUUUUCUAAUUUUACAUAUAAAAAAUCUUAGUUUAUUUUUAGGUGAAAUGGUUAAAAAAGAACCAAGCUUUCAUCAAUUAUAUUAUGACUUAUAUGUUUUUUUAAAUUAUUGGUAUAUAUCAGCCAAGUCUAGAUCGAGCUACACUAGUGCAGAUUUUAUACGAAACUAUUGAAAGCGUAAUUCCAAUUGCAAAAUGUUUUCAGUGUUAGACAUGCCUCACAUAGGAAUUACCUGCUACCUCAAUUUUAUCAUGCAUGGGAAAGCUUAAUUGUCUAGAAUCUAAUGUUUGUACAUGACCAAUCUGAAUAUAAAAUUAAUACGAUCAUAGCCAAUAAUAUGACAUGUUAUACAUUAAGAAUCAUUAAAUAACUAGCAUCACUGUCAGCAUCCUGAAGGCAUAACCAUAUAAAUAUAUGUCUCUAUGCGCUCUAGGCUAUCUAUCUGAUCUAGACUAGACUGUAUGUACAAAUGUAUAAUUUUUCUUGCUGAACAAGGGGUAGCUGAUUAUGUGUCAUCUUUCUCAUUAAUCAGCCAUAAAGGAAUUAGGAUGUGUGUCAAAUGAAGAAUGGAGGAAUUUUUACUAGUAUAUGCAGAUUCUUGUUCAAACUCUCUUUAAAUUUUGUGGGAGGGCAAAAAGCAUAGAAAUCUAGUUUGAAGCAACAUGUAGUCAUCUUUAUCUGUAUUUUUUACUGGUGUGCACUGUGUUUUUUCUAUUCAGGUGGAACAGAGGCCGGAGCUGUGCAUGAUGUUGGAUAGUCACCAAGAAGCCAACAUAUGAUAUUUUUCUUUUGAUAAGAUGGAGAUGAGGCAUUUUGUAGUGAAUCAAUUUAGAUUGUACAAACAAACAUAUGACUUGUGCCUACCAUUUAACCUAGCUAGGUUGUGUGUGUCAUAUGAUAGAACUGUCAUGGAUCAAAAUCUUAGAUGAUUGAACUUGAUGUGUAUUGCUAAAUGUUGUCUUUAAUGAAACAUGAGAUAUUGAUAUCUAAUGAUGUGUUUGAUGAGUGAUAUGGGCAGCAAUGGAUGUAUGUGCUUGAUGAAUAAUGAGACAUGUUAUGGAUGUUUAUUGGGUUUAAAAUAUGGUUAAUA